rnacentral:lncRNA from 1 species
AUGUUUCCUUUGCAUGCCAAAAAGCCAGUGGUACAUGUGCCUUCGAAUAUGGGCUUAGAAGCAAAUAUUCAUAAAUCCCUAUGCUCCUUCCACAUGGACCCUCCAUUGCAUAAGACAACUUUCAGUGAGGAUAGCUUCAAGUCUGUGAGGGAAGUUGUCUUCUAAGUCAACAUACAUCUUCCAGCUCUGCAAACUGAAAGACUAGGAUCAAUUUAAUUCUGCAAAACCAGAAAGUUACGAAUCUAGCCAGGUCCAUCUAAUCCAGUAUUUUAAACCAGAGGGCAGACAGUUGGUGACGGUUAUACAAAAGAGUUAUUGAAGCCUCGGUUACAUGAGAGUGGAACAUUUUUCCCUUCAGGUAAAUCCCACCUUUAUCUCUAUUAAUUAUCGUAAUACUUAAACAUGCAAGAUAUAUAAUUAAAGGCACAAAAUGCAAUUUUUCUCCUAAAAGUAAUAUUUUUUCCUGCUACAUUACUAAACCCUUAUAUCCUUGACUUCGUUUGCCAAUGAAAUGUGCAUCCGAGUUUUUUGCCUGCUCUUUUAAGACAACAUUCAUUAUUUUCACUAAGUGAUACAGCAAUCUAAACCUGCUAUCUUUUUCAGAUAUUUCAGUUAAAAAAUAAGAGAAGACUAGGGAUGUAUGUGUUCUAGCUAACUCUUUCUGUCCUCUUCAAGCUAUUUUGUAACUAUUGUGAUGACAGAGAUCACAGUUUAACUGAAAUUUCUGUUAAUUAUGUAAUUACAACAACAUGCCUUUCAUUUUAAAAGUAAUUUUGAGUUUUUAAUUCACUGCAAACAUUUUUUUUCAUUGACAUUUUAAGUAGUAAAAACAAAUGUUGUGGUUGGUUCAUUCAACUCCUCUUUUUUUUUUUUUUUUUUUUUAUCCUAAACCGUGGAGGACAAAACACUCUCCAGAAGAGAGACAUUCAACCUUUUACCCUAAGUCUAUCAUUUAUCCACACAAUAUGUGUGAAUAAGGAAAUUAGUGGCAGAGAUAUAUGACUUCUCUCCAUAUUUUGGGAGGGGGAGGAGAACAUUGGUCUUUUAAUAUAGUAUUAUAUAUCCUCUAAAGUCUGAAAUGAGAAACACCAUCUGGAGGUAAGAUACAACUGUAUUUUGCUUCCUUUAUAAAACUGUCUGCUGAAGUAAUUCAAAAACAGGCCUCGUGUUGACUCUCCAGUAACAUCUCUAUCACUCUCCUGAACAGAGACUAACG